ensembl:lncRNA
UGUAGAGCCAAAUACUGUCAAUAGGCCUCUGCAAUGUUCUGAAGACAGUUAAACUUGUCAGAUAGUGAUGUCCAGCAGGUGAAAAUGCAAGCUCCAUGAACACGCACAGCUAUGGAUUCCAGCUGCUUCGAUGUUGCAUUAACUGGCAUUAACUCAGCCAGUUAAAGCGAGACAAAUCCAGCUGCUCAUUAAAGAUUUGUGGUUUGAUCAGAAAAUAAAACAUUGGUCCAUACACCUGAAAGUCCCAAAAAUGCAUUGUGUCUCGAGUCUACGGAUGUAUCUGUGUAUCUCCGUGGUGCUGAUGCUGUGCUGAAGCUUUUGAAGUGUCAGAAUUGUUACACCCCGGCCUAGGCAACCGGCGUGCAACGCAGGAAAAUAAAAAUAAAGAAAAAACACACGAAAAAAACCCACUAAGGCUCUCCACCAAAAUCCCCAAAACCGAAGUGUCUCAAAACGAAAGUAUUGACAAAACCCAUUUACAGCUAUUUACAACAAACUUUUUAUUUACAACACUGGGGCAGAUCACGCACAUGACAUACUGAAACACAAGGUUUAAAUACAUAGAAGGAGCAAUCAGGGAAUGGACCACAGGAGGGAAACACAGCUGGGGCAAAUUAGACCUGACGAGACAAGGAAACGUAAACUGAACACACUAAGAUGACACAGACUUUCAAACGUAAACUGAACACACUAAGAUGACACAGACUUUCAAAGUAAAGCAGGAAAUACAUGACAGUCACGCAAAAAACAAAACACUGACAACACCGAAACGUAACAGAAUGUGGAAAGCUAACAACGUCCCUCUGACCAGUAGGCUAAGUUAUUUUUAGCCAAUUACAAGUUGAAUCUGGUAUUUGGGUUUGUUAGCUAAGAUACCGUCAUAAAGAAGCAGCACAACUAAUGUGUCUAUGCAAGCUGAUUUGUGAUGUGCACCGCUGGCGCGGCCAUUUAUUUUUUGAUGCACCUUCUCAGAUUAAUUCACUGCGUGUCGUGCCCAGGGCUGGACUGGGACAAAAAAACAGCCCGGGCAUUUUGACUAGAGACGGCCAACCAGGUAUUAAAGCCAUAAAGCCUUUGAAUGAAAACAAAUGCUGUUGUGACA